CACUUGGUGAGUUUUCUCCUGAACAGCAGCUCCUCCUUUUUAUACACCAGAAUAAUGAUGAUGACGGGUGUUAGAGGAGCGACUGGAAUCAGAACCACAAAAAUCCUGUUCCUAAUUUUCCCUCUGUUGGAUCUCAUCCGCUUCACAAAUUCCCAUUCUGCACAGAAACACUUGACAGCAUUACAGGAAUUGUGCCAGAAAACAAAAGAAGAUCUUGAGAAACUGAAGAAAACACAUCAGUUUGAAUUCAGGACUCCAUUAGAUCCAGCUGAUGAAGGUGUCAACAUAAUAAAUCCAGUGAAAGCACUGAUGAAGAAAUAUGAUCAUAACCUUCCUCAUAGUCAUCCUCCAGUCCAACCAAAAGUUUCUCUGAGGGAAAAAGAUCAUCGCUGUUGACUGCAAGAGUGAUGAGUUUGAAAUGCAUGUUUACUUGACAAAUGAACAUGUGUGCAGGAUGAAGAAGUUACCUUAAGAAUAGAAUCUUAUCUCUGUUCACUUAAGAUAUUUAUAACAUUCUGUUUUAAU